rnacentral:rRNA from 1 species
AGAGUUUGAUCAUGGCUCAGGAUAAACGCUGGCGGCGUGCCUAACACAUGCAAGUCGAACGCCCUUGCGCAAGUGAGGGAGUGGCGGACGGGUGAGGAACACGUGGGUAUCUGCCUUGAGGUGAGGAAUACCGGCGAGAAAUCGCCGACAAUACCGCAUAUGCUUCUUUUCGAGGAAGCAAAGUCUCGCAAGAGACGCCU